AUUUUUCUAAUUUAUUUGUGUGGGAGUUGAAAGAGUCAGGGUGAUGGUUUGUAGGAGCUCCAGGGGGACAAAAGUGUGCAACCAGUGUUGAAGACCAGGCUGUGCCCCUUGAGGAAUUGCAAUGAAAUCACCACAGGGCCCUUCACCUGGCUGAACCUCCUUAUCUCUCCUCAUCUCCCUUCAGCUUUCCCUCACCACCCAGGUUUAAAGCUGAAGGCCAUGAUCACCACACAAAAGAUGAUGGCUGUUACCACGCAGUUUUCACUAUGCCUUUGGUGGAGGCACAAGCAGAGCUGACAGGGGGAUCCAACUACUCCAGGCAGCAUUGAAAACCUAGCCUAGUGUUCUUAAUGCAUUCUUCUUCCAGCUUUAGAUAUAGACAGCAUAAUUGUAAAGAGAUACUGGAAAUUUCUUUGUUUAACAGAGAAUCCAUCUUAAUUACAGGCAGGACUGGACACAGCUUCCGCAAUUGAAAAAAUCAACUGAACUACAGUUUCGACAACGAAUCACCUGAAUUACGAAGGAAAACCAGCAAAAAGAUACCUUUCAACCUUGCAAACCCAAGAGGAGUGCUCGGAAUCCUGUCUGGUAGAAGACCCAUCGUUAUGACCAUCUGGGCAGUGUUUUCUGAAUGGCUGGAUUUCAGCUCUGACAGACACAGAGCAUACAGCACACCGAACACACACAGGAGUAGGAACUGCUGAAGAUAAGGGACUCUGAAGAAACUUCACACAUAAAUAUGAGUUUAUUCUUUUUCCCUAAUGAAAACAGAAGCAAGAGAAUUCUUGAAAGAAGGUCUCUGCCAUUACUUCUCUCCUGGGCUAUUAGCGAUUCAUCUUCCCCCAUCCAUCUGUAUUUUGUGGGCUUCCCAUAUGCUUAAUGCAUUAACUGGGCCUGCCCAUACGGUACCAAUUGGUUUAUGUUUCCUGGGAGAAUUUCUCCCCGUGUUAACUUUGCUUCCAGUCCGCCUGCCAGGCAGCCACAUGCUGGUCAAAUCAACCUCGUCACACUUAAGGGGAUUGCAGGCCAAAGAGGCACAUGAAUAAGUGAAGAGCUACUUCCCAGGCACCCUGGGCUCCGCCAGCAGGCACCAGAGUACAGCAGUCUCUUAUUGUCCAGGCAGUGUUCUCCCCAGAGAAAGAAGCUGAAGACAUCACCCAGAGGCUUUGAAGAUCUGGAUUAUUUUUAUAAAGCAGCAAACACAACAGACUGACUAAUACGCUCCAGGCCCUGGGCCAUAUUCUCAGCUUAAGGGCAACCAAUCCUUCCAGCAGCACACCUCUGCACUGCUGGAAGUGAGGCAAAGAGAGCCUAGGACUGCCCUCAAGGCAAGGGAAUCCCUUGUGCCAUGAGCUGCCGUAGCCAGUUCAGUGCCAUCUGUUCCUCCAUUCUUUCCAGAGGAUGUUCAUGGAGAUGCUGCAGGAGAUGGGGCACGGGUAGUGACUUAGGGAGUCAUUGUAUCUGCUGGCAUUAAAAACAGCCUUUAUGGACACUAGAGUGACACCACACGCUGGUGGUGUCAGACAGACUCACGGACCAGCCCUGGCAGGAGCAGAGAGGUGACUUCAACCCAUGCAAAUCUCUCAUCUUCGUUUUAUGAAGACUUGAGAAUCGAGUCUGGCACAGUGAAAUAACAACAGCCUAUUCCAGUUAUUUAUUAUCUCAUUUUCAAACAAAAGUACACCAAGUAGGUGUUUCAAUUACGAAAAGACUGCGCAUUCACUCCUGGGAAAGGCCUGUCCCUCCACCUGCGAGCACAAUGUUUUGUGUAUUACCAUGCACACACCACACAGAUUAAUGAUGUGUAAUGAGGUGCUGCCUGCACACUUAGGGUCUUACUCUGCACCUGGCUAUAAUUUCGGUACACACAAUCCUAGCUCCUAACACACCGGCUCUGGCUGGAAAGAUGACAGAGUCUCUUUCUCUGUCUCACAGAAAGUUGUGCAAUAGGGCUCAUUUUUGCUGCGUGUUCUCACCACAGCAGGAAACAGCAAAAGCCAUCUGGGAAGGAGGACUGUACAAAGGGAAAUAUGAAGGCAGUAAAAAGAAAAACAGUACUUGGGAAACAUCAGCGACCAGCCAGGUAACACAAGCAGCCUACAGUGAAUUGAAAUAAUGUAAACUGAAGAACAGAUGUCAGAUGCGUGGAAAGUUGCCCUAGAUGCAGAGUAUAAGAAAUGUUAGCAUAAAAUGCCACAGAAAACCCGAAAUGCUAAGGCAAAUCAUAACAUCCUGAUGUAUGCACAUGCUUGCACAUAAAACUGUAAGGGUUAGGGACUCCUGUAUAUAUGACAUUGUUUUGCAACAAUUCAA